rnacentral:misc_RNA from 1 species
AGUGUUAAAGAUUUAGCCGUGAGACACAAUGUUAAAAAUCACGUUAGGGGUAUUUCUCCUGACGCUAUUAUGUCAUCACUCUGAAUCUGGUUUAGCGCCUACUUGGUAUUCAUGUGGAUGCCAUUGGGCAUCCUGGGAUGCGUGGUCGCAAUGUUCAGAAUCUUGUGGUGGUGGAUACAGGUAUAGAUCAAGAUCAGUUUGGGGCCAUGAUACUCCAGAAUGUGAAGGCUUCGAAUCAUGUGCUACCAGUGAUAUGGGUAAUGAGUAUGAUCAUGCUUGCAAUGCAGUUUGCGAUCACGGUACAUAUUCAAGUGGAAUGUGUCGUUGUCCAACAGGAUGGUAUGGACGAUGUUGCAGCAAUCGUAUGUAUGAAAUCAUCAUUUUGUAGAUAUUUCGUUCUACAGAUUAACACAUUUUAUUGUAUUAAGAAAGUUAUAUAUAUAUUUUUUAGAAAUCGUCUGCGGGAACCCCGGAGGAAUCAGUCAUGGCUUUGUAGAUGGGUCAUUCUAUGUGUACGGUAGAGUUGUGGUUUAUCAUUGCAAUCAGUACUACAACUUGACUGGAGGUACAAGAACACAAAGAUGUCAGUCAAACUCUAUAUGGAGUGGAAAAAAACCGAGAUGUGCCUUUGUGAAUUCCUGCCAUAGCAACCCAUGUCUAAAUAAUGGGACAUGUAUUAAUGGUUUGGAUGUGUACCGUUGUGCCUGUUCCAAAAGCUUCACUGGCGUUAACUGCGAGAUAGAUAUCCAGCCUCCAGAGAUGAAUAAUUGUCCUAACAACAUGACACAAUUUUCUGCCGAGCCAGUGACGUACAUUAAUUGGACGGCCCCGACUUUUGUUGAUCCCGUAGGAAAACCAAUCAGAAUAUCUACUAAUUACCCCCUAGAUAGCUAUAGCUUUCCUUGGGGAGAUUUUAAAGUACAGUAUGUAGCGCUUAAGCCUUCCAAUGGUAUGAGAACCAGCUGUGUAUUUACAAUUAAAAUUCGCCCUCACCCUUGCAAGCCUCUUGCCAUCCCUGAAAAUGGAGCCAAGGUCUGUAAUGGAUGGAAAAAAGAUUAUGGAGAAUUCUGCUUAGCCUUCUGUGGCCCCACAUACAGCCUUGACAUUAGAUAUAGUCAUCGUCAGUGGUACGUUUGCGGUACUAGUGGACAAUGGACACCGAACGCAUUACCAAACUGCACAGGAACUUUUUUAACCGCUAAAACAGAUGAUGAUCGUUUUAGAUUCAACAACUGCUCAUCUUCUGACCAAAUACAGAAAAUACAAGAAACGUAUGUGGCAAUGUUUCAGACAUCAGCGUAUAACGAUUUCUGUACUAAAUUUCAGGAUCAGUGUCGUAGAGAAAACGUUGAAAUUCUUUGUUAGCGUAUUAGAUUAACUGUAACAUUGUUCAUAGAUGAUGUUUCAAAUAUAUCAUUUUAUACAAUUAUUAAAACUUGCUUUAAUCUU